AUACGUAGGGAGCGAGCGUUGUCCGGAAUUACUGGGUGUAAAGGGCGUGUAGGCGGAGAUGCAAGUCAGGAGUGAAAUCUAGGGGCUCAACCCCUAAACUGCUUUUGAAACUGUAUCCCUUGAGUAUCGGAGAGGCAGGCGGAAUUCCUAGUGUAGCGGUGAAAUGCGUAGAUAUUAGGAGGAACACCAGUGGCGAAGGCGGCCUGCUGGACGACAACUGACGCUGAGGCGCGAAAGCGUGGGGAGCAAACAGGAUUAGAUACCCUGGUAGUCCACGCUGUAAACGAUGAAUACUAGGUGUAGGGGGACUGACCCCCUCCGUGCCGCAGUUAACACAAUAAGUAUUCCACCUGGGGAGUACGAUCGCAAGAUUGAAACUCAAAUGAAUUGACGGGG
rnacentral:rRNA from 1 species